GUUUGAUGGCGACCGGCGCACGGGUGAGUAACACGUAUCCAACCUGCCGAUGACUCGGGGGAUAGCCUUUCGAAAGAAAGAUUAAUACCCGAUGGCAUAGUUCUUCCGCAUGGUAGAACUAUUAAAGAAUUUCGGUCAUCGAUGGGGAUGCGUUCCAUUAGGUUGUUGGCGGGGUAACGGCCCACCAAGCCUUCGAUGGAUAGGGGUUCUGAGAGGAAGGUCCCCCACAUUGGAACUGAGACACGGUCCAAACUCCUACGGGAGGCAGCAUG
rnacentral:rRNA from 1 species